rnacentral:rRNA from 1 species
AGAGUUUGAUUCUGGCUCAGGAUGAACGCUGGCGGCGUGCUUAACACAUGCAAGUCGAACGAAGCAACCAUGAAGCCUAGCGAUUGGUUGACUGAGUGGCGGACGGGUGAGUAACGCGUGGGUAACCUGCCUCAUACAGGGGGACAACAGUUAGAAAUGACUGCUAAUACCGCAUAACCCGCUAGGGCCGCAUGGCCCGGACGGAAAAGGAGCAAUCCGGUAUGAGAUGGACCCGCGUCUGAUUAGCUGGUUGGUGGGGUAACGGCCUACCAAGGCAACGAUCAGUAGCCGAACUGAGAGGUUGACCGGCCACAUUGGGACUGAGACACGGCCCAA